UAAAAAGGACCGUAGCUUUGUCUGGGAAAUUACUUGUUUGCAAUAAAAUUGCUGUCAUUUUAGGGGCAAGAAAAGGAUGAGAGCCAAACUGGGAAAGGAAUUUAGUGUCAUGAAAUCAAACCAGCAAGUUUAGAUCAAAAGGUCUUUGGAGCAGGAAAUGUGCCUAAUCAUGUAUUCAUACAGUGACUGACAAAAUGAGGCUUUUGUCUUGACUUGAGUCCCUGGGAAUCGUCAGAAAGCAAACACCAGACCAAGGCAAGCUGCACCAGGACCUCUGAGAUAUACACAGAGGAGUGAAAAUGAGAGUGAAGUAUGGAUUACAGUGCUGUGUACCUCCACUGCACCAGACAGAAGCCAUGCAAUGAAAUUGGUGACUGAGCUGGCUCAGGGAAUGGAGGAGGACCAGGCUUGGCUAGCAGAGAGCUGGAUCCACAGAUAUAGUAAGGACGGGACCAUGUGAAGGGUGCUGAGUGAGUAGGGUGUGGGUAUUUAUCACACUGUGG
rnacentral:lncRNA from 1 species